UAUUCGGAGGUUGAGCUGUUUGAAAUUUUGAAAUUUGAAAAUUUGGAAGCAAUCCAGCCGUUCAUUCAUUCGUGGUUCGCGGAUGCUGUGAGGAAACUGUCGACUGUUACACUAGGUGGCUAAAACCUAAAAUUAUGUCCACCAGGUGGCUGAGUGUCCAUUCGUUACUCGUUAGUGACUACUGACUAGUGAGUGACAGACAAUUACCGCUAUUUUUUUUCCGAUUGAGCGAGUGUGAUUAUGAAUGGAAAUCGUUGUAGUGUACUGUAAAUUGAAAAGCCUAGUAUCUUGGAGCAGCUAUGGUACAUUUUGCCAAAAUGUCAAUGAUGUCUCUUUUCCCUGUACGGUCCCUGUACCUGCUGCACGUUUUGGUCAAAAACACUUCAGAAAAUUUAAAUUGAGUCGACAUUAGAAAAGCUGGCCAACUGUAGGUUCCUCUGCAACAUUUAUUCUGUGAGGGAUUGCAUAGCUUAAGCUAACUUUUAUAAUAUUAAUAGCCUGGUAAAGUCUGAUCUCCUUCGUUGCUGCACAACAUGCACAUGGAUUUGAUGUAGCCAGAUGGUUAAAGGUGUUCAUCUUGCUACUUGUAUUGUGUGUGUUUCUUCACAUGAAAAAACACUUAAGAACAAUUGAAGUUUAUCGUUUAUGUUCCCGUUGUUGCUGUCCGAUGUGGGACGUUAUUGUAGCCUAUGCUGGUGAAAGAUUUUUUUACAUCAUGUUUAACUGCAGGCUGUUCCUUGGUGCUGGUGUCGGUUACCGAAGUUGCAUCAUUAUUUUGUUUAAUUGUCAUUGGGCCUGCAGUUUAUCGAUUACAUGUUAAGAGGGAACAAAAAUACGGGGAAUUCAUGUUAAAAAAAUAAUAAAUAUAUUUCUGGGAUUGGGAAAGGAACGUAGAGGAUGUUGGGGGGGGGGGAUUGAAUUUCAAAAAAUGCUGAGGUUUGUUGUAAAAAAUUGUUACCUACAUGUUAGGUAAUGAUAAACAAUAACUUAUAAUCCCACUAAAACACACCUUCAUAUAUUUCCGACACCCCUAUUAACCUUUAAUCCUAUAAACAUAUACCAUCAUAUCGUUUUCCACACCCCUAAAAUUCCACCAACAAAAAUUUACCUUUCCUCAAACUCCUUUCCAUGUAACUCUUGUAGUGAAAAAUUAAUUUAAUAAACAAAUCCCUUUAUUUAUUUAAAA